GGGGGAUAUUGCGCAAUGGGGGCAACCCUGACGCAGCAACGCCGCGUGAAGGAUGAAGGUUUUCGGAUUGUAAACUUCUUUUAUUAAGGACGAAAAAUGACGGUACUUAAUGAAUAAGCUCCGGCUAACUACGUGCCAGCAGCCGCGGUAAUACGUAGGGAGCAAGCGUUGUCCGGAUUUACUGGGUGUAAAGGGUGCGUAGGCGGCUUUGCAAGUCAGAUGUGAAAUCUAUGGGCUCAACCCAUAAACUGCAUUUGAAACUGUAGAGCUUGAGUGAAGUAGAGGCAGGCGGAAUUCCCCGUGUAGCGGUGAAAUGCGUAGAGAUGGGGAGGAACACCAGUGGCGAAGGCGGCCUGCUGGGCUUUAACUGACGCUGAGGCACGAAAGCGUGGGUAGCAAACAGGAUUAGAUACCCUGGUAGUCCACGCUGUAAACGAUGAUUACUAGGUGUGGGGGGUCUGACCCCUUCCGUGCCGGAGUUAACACAAUAAGUAAUCCACCUGGGGAGUACGGCCGCAAGGUUGAAACUCAAAGGAAUUAACGGGGGCCCGCACAAGCAGUGGAGUAUGUGGUUUAAUUCGAAGCAACGCGAAGAACCUUACCAGGUCUUGACAUCCAACUAACGAAGUAGAGAUACAUUAGGUGCCCUUCGGGGAAAGUUGAGACAGGUGGUGCAUGGUUGUCGUCAGCUCGUGUCGUGAGAUGUUGGGUUAAGUCCCGCAACGAGCGCAACCCUUGCUAUUAGUUGCUACGCAAGAGCACUCUAAUAGGACUGCCGUUGACAAAACGGAGGAAGGUGGGGACGACGUCAAAUCAUCAUGCCCCUUAUGACCUGGGCUACACACGUACUACAAUGGAUGUUAACAGAGGGAAGCAAGACAGCGAUGUGGAGCAAACCCCUAAAAACAUUCUCAGUUCAGAUUGCAGGCUGCAACCCGCCUGCAUGAAGAUGGAAUUGCUAGUAAUCGCGGAUCAGCAUGCCGCGGUGAAUACGUUCCCG
rnacentral:rRNA from 1 species